rnacentral:rRNA from 1 species
GACAUAGGUGGCGAACGUUAUCCGGAUUUAUUGGGCGUAAAGGAUGCGUAGAUGGUGGAAUAAGUUAUUGGUCAAAGUCAAGCUCAACUUGGCGGAAGCUGGUAAUACUAUUCUACUCGAGGAUAGGAGAGGUUGGCGGAAUUCUGUGUGGAGCGGUGAAAUGCGUUGAUCUACAGAGGAACACCAAAAAAGGCGAAGGCAGCCAACUACUCUAUUCCUGACAUUGAGGCAUGAAAGCGUGGGGAGCAAACCGG